CGCACCCCGGGUCCCUGAGAAGGACGAGGUGCCUGCCCGGCACCAUCUGCGGGUUCGGGUUUCGCGGGGCGCGA
rnacentral:tRNA from 1 species